rnacentral:rRNA from 1 species
CAGUUUAUACCGUAGCUUGCUACACCAUAAACUGUGAGUUGCGAACGGGUGAGUAACGCGUAGGUAACCUGCCUGGUAGCGGGGGAUAACUAUUGGAAACGAUAGCUAAUACCGCAUAAUAUUGAUUAUUGCAUGAUAAUUGAUUGAAAGAUGCUAUUGCAUCACUACCAGAUGGACCUGCGUUGUAUUAGCUAGUAGGUGAGGUAACGGCUCACCUAGGCGACGAUACAUAGCCGACCUGAGAGGGUGAUCGGCCACACUGGGACUGAGACACGGCCCAGACUCCUACGGGAGGCAGCAGUAGGGAAUCUUCGGCAAUGGACGAAAGUCUGACCGAGCAACGCCGCGUGAGUGAAGAAGGUUUUCGGAUCGUAAAGCUCUGUUGUAAGAGAAGAACGGGUGUGAGAGUGGAAAGUUCACACUGUGACGGUAUCUUACCAGAAAGGGACGGCUAACUACGUGCCAGCAGCCGCGGUAAUACGUAGGUCCCGAGCGUUGUCCGGAUUUAUUGGGCGUAAAGCGAGCGCAGGCGGUUAGAUAAGUCUGAAGUUAAAGGCUGUGGCUUAACCAUAGUACGCUUUGGAAACUGUUUAACUUGAGUGCAGAAGGGGAGAGUGGAAUUCCAUGUGUAGCGGUGAAAUGCGUAGAUAUAUGGAGGAACACCGGUGGCGAAAGCGGCUCUCUGGUCUGUAACUGACGCUGAGGCUCGAAAGCGUGGGGAGCGAACAGGAUUAGAUACCCUGGUAGUCCACGCCGUAAACGAUGAGUGCUAGGUGUUAGGCCCUUUCCGGGGCUUAGUGCCGCAGCUAACGCAUUAAGCACUCCGCCUGGGGAGUACGACCGCAAGGUUGAAACUCAAAGGAAUUGACGGGGGCCCGCACAAGCGGUGGAGCAUGUGGUUUAAUUCGAAGCAACGCGAAGAACCUUACCAGGUCUUGACAUCCCGAUGCCCGCUCUAGAGAUAGAGUUUUACUUCGGUACAUCGGUGACAGGUGGUGCAUGGUUGUCGUCAGCUCGUGUCGUGAGAUGUUGGGUUAAGUCCCGCAACGAGCGCAACCCUUAUUGUUAGUUGCCAUCAUUCAGUUGGGCACUCUAGCGAGACUGCCGGUAAUAAACCGGAGGAAGGUGGGGAUGACGUCAAAUCAUCAUGCCCCUUAUGACCUGGGCUACACACGUGCUACAAUGGCUGGUACAACGAGUCGCAAGUCGGUGACGGCAAGCUAAUCUCUUAAAGCCAGUCUCAGUUCGGAUUGUAGGCUGCAACUCGCCUACAUGAAGUCGGAAUCGCUAGUAAUCGCGGAUCAGCACGCCGCGGUGAAUACGUUCCCGGGCCUUGUACACACCGCCCGUCACACCACGAGAGUUUGUAACACCCGAAGUCGGUGAGGUAACCUUUUAGGAGCCAGCCGCCUAAG